UACGGAGGAUCCAAGCGUUAUCCGGAUUUAUUGGGUUUAAAGGGUGCGCAGGCGGCACGGCAAGCCGGCGGUCAAAUCGCGGGGCUCAACCCCGCCCAGCCGUCGGAACUGCCGGGCUAGAGUGGGCGAGAAGUGCGCGGAAUGCGUGGUGUAGCGGUGAAAUGCAUAGAUAUCACGCAGAACUCCGAUUGCGAAGGCAGCGCACCGGCGCCCUACUGACGCUCAGGCACGAAAGCGUGGGUAUCGAACAGG
rnacentral:rRNA from 1 species